UACAGAGGUCUCAAGCGUUGUUCGGAUUCAUUGGGCGUAAAGGGUGCGUAGGCGGCGCGGUAAGUCGGGUGCGAAAUCUCGGGGCUUAACUCCGAAACUGCAUUCGAUACUGCCGUGCUUGAGGACUGGAGAGGAGACUGGAAUUUACGGUGUAGCGGUGAAAUGCGUAGAUAUCGUAAGGAAGACCAGUGGCGAAGGCGGGUCUCUGGACAGUUCCUGACGCUGAGGCACGAAGGUCAGGGGAGCAAACGGG
rnacentral:rRNA from 1 species